rnacentral:rRNA from 1 species
CCUACGGGUGGCAGCAGUGGGGAAUAUUGGACAAUGGGCGAAAGCCUGAUCCAGCCAUGCCGCGUGUGUGAAGAAGGCCUUCGGGUUGUAAAGCACUUUCAGUGGGGAAGAAAGCCUUGGGGCUAAUACCCUCGAGGAAGGACAUCACCCACAGAAGAAGCACCGGCUAACUCCGUGCCAGCAGCCGCGGUAAUACGGAGGGUGCGAGCGUUAAUCGGAAUUACUGGGCGUAAAGCGCGCGUAGGCGGUCUGAUAAGCCGGUUGUGAAAGCCCCGGGCUCAACCUGGGAACGGCAUCCGGAACUGUCAGGCUAGAGUGCAGGAGAGGAAGGUAGAAUUCCCGGUGUAGCGAUGAAAUGCGUAGAGAUCGGGAGGAAUACCAGUGGCGAAGGCGGCCUUCUGGACUGACACUGACGCUGAGGUGCGAAAGCGUGGGUAGCAAACAGGAUUACAUACCCGUGUAGUC